UACGGAGGGGGCUAGCGUUGUUCGGAAUUACUGGGCGUAAAGCGUGCGCAGGCGGUGCUGUAAGACCGAUGUGAAAUCCCCCGGGCUUAACCUGGGAACUGCAUUGGUGACUGCAGCGCUGGAGUAUGGGCAGAGGGGGGUGGAAUUCCACGUGUAGCAGUGAAAUGCGUAGAGAUCCGGAAGAACACCGGUGGCGAAGGCGGUUAGCUGGGCAGUUGCUGACACUGAGGCGCGAC
rnacentral:rRNA from 1 species